AUACCUUUCUCGGCCUUUUGGAUAAGAUCAAGUGUAGUAUCUGUUCUGAUCAUUUACUAAGUUUGCUUAUCCUAGAGGUGGUCUUCAAUUAACUUUUUGGAACUAUGUUGCACAAAUUCUUGGUUUGUGCUGCAUAUAUUUGCAAUAUCCGAAUAUCCGAAAU
rnacentral:snRNA from 1 species